GACGAACGCUGGCGGCGUGCUUAACACAUGCAAGUCGAACGGAAAGGCCCUGCUUUUGUGUGGUGCUCGAGUGGCGAACGGGUGAGUAACACGUGAGUAACCUGCCCUUGACUUUGGGAUAACUUCAGGAAACUGGGGCUAAUACCGGAUAGGAGCUCCUGCUGCAUGGUGGGGGUUGGAAAGUUUCGGCGGUCGGGGAUGGGCUCGCGGCUUAUCAGCUUGUUGGUGGGGUAGUGGCUUACCAAGGCUUUGACGGGUAGCCGGCCUGAGAGGGUGACCGGCCACAUUGGGACUGAGAUACGGCCCAGACUCCUACGGGAGGCAGCAGUGGGGAAUAUUGCACAAUGGGCGGAAGCCUGAUGCAGCAACGCCGCGUGCGGGAUGACGGCCUUCGGGUUGUAAACCGCUUUCGCCUGUGACGAAGCGUGAGUGACGGUAAUGGGUAAAGAAGCACCGGCUAACUACGUG
rnacentral:rRNA from 1 species